GAUUUCUUGAAUUUCCUCCAUGUCUCGUUCAAUUUUCAAAGCUCUUUCUACCGUAUCUGCAUAUGUUUGUAGUUUUAAAGCUGACAUUCGGCUUCUUAUUGCUGGUCGUAAUCCCCUUUCAAACCUUCUUGCUUUUCUAGAUUCAUCAUCAGUCAUAUGUGUGGCAAACCUAGAGAGCUCAGUGAAUUUAGAUUCAUACUUUGUAACC
rnacentral:lncRNA from 1 species